rnacentral:lncRNA from 12 species
GCCAUGCAUACUUUAUAUUUGAGAGUUCAAUGUCAGAAUGUGGGAGAAGAGUGGUGCACAGUGCCUGAUGAGAGAUGAAAACCAAGCCCAGGAAAUAAAAAUGGAAGAAACAACACACAAGUUCAAUAGCUUCAGAGGUCAAGAAUUUAUUUGGAUAAGCAAGGCUGGAGCAGCACCGGAGAGCGUGCAAAUAAUUUCCCCCCAAAUCUGGACUCCAGGACACUCCUCCUGCACACAGAUGAACGCCCCCAUGAGCAAAUUGCCUCUCCAGCCUGUCCAGAGUCACCUAGACUGCUGGCAAAUGGUUUUUUCAGAGCAAGCAGCCAGGAUGAAGUUUUCAAAACACAAAUCUCGCCAGCUCAAGAAGAUAUGGAGGAUGGAAAACAAGUUAUAUGACACUGCAAGGAAGCAAUCAGCCAAAUGCAGAAUGUGGGACACGAUGCAGGACAAAUGA